GAGUUUGAUCCUGGUUCAGGAUGAACGCUGGCGGUAUGCUUUAUACAUGCAAGUCGUACGGGAGUUUUUAACUCAAGUGGCGGACGGGUGAGUAACACGUAAGAAUUUGCCUUUAGGAGGGGGAUAACAACUGGAAACGGUUGCUAAUACCCCAUAUGCUUUUGAGUGAAAUGGAUUUUUCCGCCUAAAGAGAAGCUUGCGGCUGAUUAGCUUGUUGGUAAGGUAAUGGCUUACCAAGGCGACGAUCAGUAUCUGGUUUGAGAGGACGAUCAGACACACUGGAACUGAGACACGGUCCAGACUCCUACGGGAGGCAGCAGUAGGGAAUUUUCCGCAAUGGGCGAAAGCCUGACGGAGCAAUACCGCGUGAGGGAUGACGGCCUAUGGGUUGUAAACCUCUUUUUUCAGGGAGGAACAAAAUGACGUGUACCUGAAGAAUAAGCAUCGGCUAACUCCGUGCCAGCAGCCGCGGUAAGACGGAGGAUGCAAGUGUUAUCCGGAAUCACUGGGCGUAAAGCGUCUGUAGGUGGUCAAAUAAGUCAACUGUUAGAUCUUGAGGCUCAACCUCAAAUCGCAGUCGAAA
rnacentral:rRNA from 1 species